rnacentral:rRNA from 1 species
GCAUAUCAAUAAGCGGAGGAAAAGAAACUAACAAGGAUUCCCCUAGUAACGGCGAGUGAAGAGGGAAGAGCCCAAGAUUGAAAGCUGGCGCCUUCGGCGUCCGCAUUGUAAUCUCAAGAAGUGUUUUCCGCUUCGGACCAUGCCUAAGUCCCUUGGAAAAGGGCAUCAUAGAGGGUGAUAAUCCCGUACAUGGCAUGGAGCGCCCGAGGCUUUGUGAUACGCUUUCUAAGAGUCGAGUUGUUUGGGAAUGCAGCUCAAAAUGGGUGGUAAAUGCCAUCUAAGGCUAAAUAUUGGGGAGAGACCGAUAGCGAACAAGUACAGUGAUGGAAAGAUGAAAAGAACUUUGAAAAGAGAGUUAAACAGUACGUGAAAUUGCCAAAAGGGAAGGGUAGGAGGUCAGAGAUGCGUCUUGGGAUUCAGCCUUGCUUCUGCUUGGUGUUUUUCCCAAGUUGCAGGCCAACGUCGGUUUUGGGCACUGGAGAAGGGUGGAAGGAAUGUGGCACCUCUCGGGGUGUGUUAUAGCCUUCUACUGGAUACAGCGACCGAGACCGAGGACAGCAGCGUACUCGCAAGAGCGGGCCUUCGGGCACCUUUACGCUUAGGGCGUUGGCAUAAUGGCCCUCUACCACCCGUCUUGA